UACGGAGGGUGCGAGCGUUAUCCGGAAUUACUGGGCGUAAAGGGCGCGUAGGCGGUUCGUUAAGUCCUGUGUGAAAUCCCCCGGCUCAACUGGGGAACUGCACAGGAAACUAGCGGGCUUGAGUUCGGGAGAGGGAAGCGGAAUUCCGGGUGUAGCGGUGAAAUGCGUAGAUAUCCGGAGGAACACCGGUGGCGAAGGCGGCUUCCUGGACCGACACUGACGCUGAGGCGCGAAAGCUAGGGGAGCAAACAGG
rnacentral:rRNA from 1 species